GGACUUCUUCUACCCUUCACUCUUUUCCUUUGGCUAUUUUAAGUAUUCUUGCAUAAACCUUUGGCUCUGUCGGAUGUCACCUGAAUUAAUUUUUUUUUGAUAGGUAUGUCACCAGAAUUAAUUCAUUCUCAUACUCUCAAAUUGCCACACAAUAAGUUUGUCCAUUUCUACUUUAGGUGCAUAUUGUCAAAAUAUUGUAUGAAUGACCGAAUACCUUGGCCUUGAGUUUUGUAUAUUAUAUAUAUAGACUUUACAAGGAUGCUAUACAUGGAAAGCAAAUAAAAGCAAAUAAAUUCCCUCAUGAUUCUAGUCCUAUACAUGUAAACUAUAAUCUGUCAAAUAAUAUAUGCUAACUGUACAGAAUAAUAAAUGGAGAAAUAAGGAAACAAUUGUGGGCUAAAAUAAGGAAAGAAGUGUGGACAGCAAAGUUGUCCUUUGACACAUAUGCAGUCAUGAUAUUAUUUGUCUCUUCUCCUA
rnacentral:lncRNA from 1 species